rnacentral:rRNA from 1 species
CCUACGGGGGGCAGCAGUGGGGAAUAUUGCACAAUGGGCGCAAGCCUGAUGCAGCCAUGCCGCGUGUGUGAAGAAGGCCUUCGGGUUGUAAAGCACUUUCAGCGGGGAGGAAGGCGUUAAGGUUAAUAACCUUGGCGAUUGACGUUACCCGCAGAAGAAGCACCGGCUAACUCCGUGCCAGCAGCCGCGGUAAUACGGAGGGUGCAAGCGUUAAUCGGAAUUACUGGGCGUAAAGCGCACGCAGGCGGUCUGUCAAGUCGGAUGUGAAAUCCCCGGGCCCAACCUGGGAACUGCAUUCGAAACUGGCAGUCUAGAGUCUUGUAGAGGGGGGUAGAAUUCCAGGUGUAGCGGUGACCUGCGUAGAGAGCUGGAGGAAUACCGGUGGCGAAGGCGGCCCCCUGGACAAAGACUGACGCUCAGGUGCGAUAGCGUGGGGAGCAAACAGGAUUAGAUACCCGGGUAGUC